UGCUGGAUCAGAGACCAGGCUGAAGCUUGGGC
rnacentral:piRNA from 1 species